AUGAGGGCGACCGUAUCUCCCCCCGCCCCCACCCACGCGCGCGAGCCCUCCAGAUCCGCAACUUCGAGCUCCUGCAGUACCGUUGGCAGCCACGAGCAGGUCCUGGAGCAUGCUGCUGCUGCUCCGGUGCGGGGCAGAGGAGACCGGGGCGCAGGCGCACGUGCUGCAGCGGCAGCUGGACAAGGACUGCGCGCGGGCGGAGCAGAAGCCGUUCUGGAAGGGCGGCGGCGAGCAGAAGCCUUCUGGAAGGAGCGGCGCGCGGCGCAGCAGCAGCCGGCGGCAUCGUCGCGGCUGAGCACGCCGGUCGCUAAGGGGGCGGAGGCCAGGCAGGCUGUGAACGCGAGAAAGAGGAGACGGGGAUGA
rnacentral:rRNA from 1 species